UGGGGAAUAUUGCACAAUGGGGGAAACCCUGAUGCAGCGACGCCGCGUGAGCGAAGAAGGCUUUCGAGUCGUAAAGCUCUGUCCUAUGAGAAGAUAAUGACGGUAUCAUAGGAGGAAGCCCUGGCUAAAUACGUGCCAGCAGCCGCGGUAAUACGUAUGGGGCGAGCGUUGUCCGGAAUUAUUGGGCGUAAAGGGUACGUAGGCGGUUUUUUAAGUCAGGUGUCAAAGCGUGGAGCUUAACUCCAUUAAGCACUUGAAACUGAAAGACUUGAGUGAAGGAGAGGAAAGUGGAAUUCCUAGUGUAGCGAUGAAAUGCGUAGAUAUUAGGAGGAAUACCGGUGGCGAAAGCGGCUUUUUGGCCUGCAACUGACACUGAGGCGCGAAAGCGUGGGGAGCAAACAGG
rnacentral:rRNA from 1 species